rnacentral:rRNA from 1 species
UAGGUCGACCCGCUGAACUUAAGCAUAUCAAUAAGCGGAGGAAGAGAAACCAACCAGGAUUCCCUCAGUAACGGCGAGCGAAGCGGGAAGAGCUCAGGCUCGGAAUCUCCGGCCGUCAGGUCGGCGAAUUGUGGCCUGGAGAGGCCGGCAGUCUGGCUCGUUUCCCUGGCCCGAAGUUGACCUGGAACGGCGCGUCAGAGAGGGUGACAGUCCCGUAGGGCCACGGGGAAGCGAGUCGACGUUAAGUCGGUCGUCGGCGAGUCGGGUUGUUUGGGAAUGCAGCCCAAAGCGGGUGGUAAACUCCAUCCAAAGCUAAAUAACGGCGCGAGACCGAUAGCGAACAAGUACC